ACUCAAAGGAAUAGACGGGGGCCCGCACAAGCGGCGGAGCAUGUUGCUUAAUUCGACGCAACGCGAAGAACCUUACCAAGGCUUGACAUGCAGGGAAAAGCCGUAGAGAUACGGUGUCCGUAAGGGUCCUGCACAGGUGGUGCAUGGCUGUCGUCAGCUCGUGUCGUGAGAUGUUGGGUUAAGUCCCGCAACGAGCGCAACCCUUAUCCUAUGUUGCCAGCGGAUUAUGCCGGGGACUCAUGGGAGACUGCCGGGGUCAACUCGGAGGAAGGUGGGGAUGAGGUCAAGUCAUCAUGCCCCUUAUGUCUUGGGCUGCAAACAUGCUACAAUGGCCGGUACAGAGGGCUGCGAGACCGCAAGGUGGAGCGAAUCUCAAAAAGCCGGUCUCAGUUCGGAUUGGGGUCUGCAACCCGACCCCAUGAAGUCGGAGUCGCUAGUAAUCGCGAAUCAGCAACGUCGCGGUGAAUACGUUCCCGGGCCUUGUACACACCGCCCGU
rnacentral:rRNA from 1 species